GCAAUGAAUUCAGGAUUUCCUUAUCUUGCCAUACUGGGGGGAUGGGGAACCUGGUGGUAAAACUUAGAAACAGUCUUGGUGGGAGGUUCAAGAUGAUAAUCAAUGGUAUAAUGUUGAGAAGAAAGACAACUUUGAAUGUGAAUAUGCAAUGAAAGAUAAAUAAGAGGCAAGUCUUACAUUCCAAAUUUCCCUUUGGGCCAUGCAAUAGGUGUGAAAGCACAACAGUUGCACCAGAAGACAACCAUGUUUGGAGAAGAGAAUUUCAAAUCUGACUUCUCUGUGCUUCAGCUCUUCACAAGUGGUUAAAACAGUUCCCUGGUUCUGUCCCCAAAGAAAACAUCCAGUGCAGAAUCACAGAAUAGAAUCAUGGAAUUGUUUAGACUGGAAAAGACCUUUAAGAUCAUCAUCAAUGUUUAUGGCCAACCUCAAAGCCUUCUGAAAACAGAGGGAUUAAAUGAAAAUACUGUAAUAAAUUUAGUUGUAUUAAUUUGAGCCAGAAGAAAUAGAGAAGUUUAAUUACCAAGGCUGAACUGGAAAACCUCAAAAACUGCUCCUGUAUGGCUUGUGUCUGCUUUAGCUCAUCUGAUAAAUUGGAUACUUUUACAAAAAAACAGCUUAAGAGUUUGUUCAGUAACAUUUUAUCAUUGGAAUACUGAAAGCCAAGCUCAUCACUCAGUAAAGAAAAUGUUUGCCUGGAGCAAGAAAAAAAAGACUCAGGUUUCUGUUUUCUUCUGAAAUCAACUUUUAAGUCAGCUGUCAAAAAAAUCUGGUCUUUGGCCUGACUUUUAGUAAAAUCUGAAUUACUCAAGUUCUCAUAUAAAACCACAGAUAAAUGCAGAUUAGCCAAGAAACCUUAAUGCAUUCCUGGUUAGUUAGACUAGCCAAGUAUACCUUAAUUCAUCUUUCUUCUGCAGGGGGUUUUAGACAAAUACAUGUUUAUGUUAAACUGCUAACACUAAUGUCUACUUCUAAAUAUUUUCAGAUAGAUGGCACUAGGCCUUUCCUUCUGCAGAAACAGUAACUUAGGGGACAGCUACAAACACAGAGUGACCUGCCAGUGGUUGUGCCCUUCAGUGCUCAUUGAAGGGCAAUGAAUCUUUAAUCCAGCAUAUAGAUCUCCCUAAUUUAGUUAUUCCAAAUCUGACAGCUCAGCUGGCGGUGGCUCCUCAGGCUGCAAUUGCUGAGACUCUGCAGAACAGCAAGGGGUGCAGCCCCCUCCUCUGAGCAGGACUGGGGUGUCCCUUCAAUCACAGCAAGGCUGGGGAGCAACACACGCCACCACCUCGCCUUGCUUUACAUCUGCUACUCUUUAACACUUGGAUCCAAAGCUUUCAAUGAGUUACUCAGGUCUUAAAAAAAUCCUGCUCCCUCUGUGCUGUACAGUGGUAAAGUCAUGCUGACAGUUCAGGAAUUACUCAGUCACCAUCUCCAGGCUUGCUGGAGCUCAAGCAGGCCUUUUGGCUUUCUGCUAGUAGUGUGAUCCUCCUUAUUUCAGCCUCAGGAAUGGGUUUGCUGUGGAUAUCAGUGAGGACACUCAUUUUCCACAAUGUACAGGGACCUCACCAAAGGCCUUGAAAGGCAGAUGAGGGAGAGGACAGAGAUUUGCUCUGGUCAGAGGUGUGCAAUCUUGAAGGAACUUUCUAAAUCUUGCAUCAAGUUCUGCAGGGUUCCCUUUCAUCUACUGAAUGCCCAAGAACUGCCCACUUAUGUUCAAGAGAAGCUCUAACACAUGAGCACUACAUCAGGGACACCAGAGACCAUUCACAUUGCAAUUGCUUUAACACAUCUCCCCAGGAGCCCUGGAUUCCCAGGCUGUCCCCUGCCUGACCAAGCCAGGUCUGCCCUGGCCACCAACCUCCCUGACCUUUGGGGAGUGGCCAUGGGAAGGGUCCCUCGCAGGCCCCUCUGUCCCCCUGCCCAAAACCAAGUCCUUUUGCUCGAGACAGGGGUCUCUGGUGAGGAGCAGGUCAUGAAGGCUGUACAGCAUGAAGUGAGGGCAGAAACGGAUGGACAUGUUUUGAUCCCUGCACUUUCUGUUAACA